AUCUUUAGGAGCAAUUAAGCCAAUGAGAAAUCAGACCCACACCCCAAUUCUGAUGUAACAGCCUUGGGAAAGAGGUUGCAGUGAAAAGCUGGUCCUGCUGUGGUGGAGAGAAUGGAGGAAAGAUAAUAAAAGGCCAAACCUUUGCUCCAACUUUCUCCUUAGCUUCCCUUUGGAUCUGGAAAGCUGGGGACCCACACGGCAGAGCCAUGGUACUGGAGGAGCCAUUAACAACGAGGCUCCUUCUGUAAGGUUGCCUGGAUACUGCAUCUGGCUGACAGAGUCCCCAGACAGAACUUGAAUAGGCACUGCCAGGGUGUGUACUUCUAUGACUCUCCUUUUGCAAUGGGCCCACACCACCCACCUCAUUUUUCUAAUAAGCAUGAGAAAGAACAAGGUAGAUCCAUAAAUACCUGUAUGGAAUGAGCCCAAGAUAAAGUGUUAGUGAAAAACACUAAAAGCAACAUGUGAAGCCAUGUGUACAGUGCACCUCCAUUUGUAUAUAAAAAGAAACAUGCAUACAUAUUCACACACAUAUGUAUGCUUGCAUAUGCAUAUAAAAUGUUUAGAAUGUAAGGGAAGACUGGGUAACCAACUCAUGGGCUAGGGUGAGGGAGAAACAAUUUUCACAAUGUGCUUCUUUGUUCUUUUUUAAAAAAUUUAAUGCAUUUACUAUAUUCACAUAUAUGUUUCAAUUAAAAAGCUAAAUAAAAUAAAAUAUUCCAAUCUUCUUUAUUUCCCCAUAGAGCUUUCAAUAAACCUCUCUUUCUUGAAGUUACCUGAGAAUGGAUCCAUUCCCUGCAACUGAAGAUUCUAAGGAACUGGGUUUCUCAGUAUACAAUGGGAAUGGUUGGGAGGAGGUAAAGAGUAGAAGACAGUAUCAAGAAUCCAGAGCCCAGCACCUGUAGUCCUAACUAUUCAGAUUCCUUGAGCCCAGGAGUUUGAGUCCAGCCUGGACAACAUAUUGAGACCCCCAUCUCUCUAAAAAAAAAGAGAAAGAAAGAAGGAAAGAAAAAAAGAAAGAAAGAAAGAAAGAAAGAAAGAAAGAAAGAAAGAAAGAAAGAGAAAGAAAGAAGGAAAGAAGGAAAGAAGGAAAGAAAGAAAGAAAGAGAAAGAAAGAAAAGAAGAUUGUAGCUAGGGGGAGAGUAGGUGAAAAGAUGAACAACAUGACCGGGAAGAUUUCCUAAUCUCACCACAGCCUGGCUCUACCUUAAGGUAGGUAGAUGGACAAGUAUAGCUACCUGGGUCACAGAUGCUAAGAUGACAUCCAGACAGGUCAGAAAUUAAGAAGAAAGGCAGAUGAGGAAGGAUAAACCCUAUCUUAUAAGACAAAUUCCUGGCACUCAUUUCUUUUUUAAGUUUCCUUUUUGCUUUCCCUAGUCCUGCAUUUUUGUUGAAGGCAGAAGAUUAGAGAGAGACAAAGAAUGGCUGAGUUGAUAUCCUUGUAGUUACAGUCUGAGUUCCCAGGUAGUACUGGAAGACGUGAGGUUAGCAGAUGUAGUCUUUACUUCAGGAGAAAAAGAAGAGUUUUCUGCUAGAAAUUGGUUCUAGUCUCUUUUCUACCCUCCUCCCAUGCCAUCUCCCCAGUUAUAGAAAAGAUUAGUCAUGUCCCUGCAGGGUUAGCUCCCUAUAGGGCCAGUGACAGCAUCCUUCAGCUACUGCUGGUAGGGCUAGGACUUCACUCAGUAGAGAAGCCUGGUGUAAAUGGAAGAAAAUGACCAAAGAAAAGCGGAACGUGACCAGGCAUAGAUGUUUGCCACCAGGAACUGGGGAGGGAAAGGACCCUGAGGCUUUCUCGCCUAGACCCAGACCACAGCCCUGUGCAGACAGGCACAGAAGCCUGAGCUCAGUAAGAUGGAGCCAGCCAUCUACACCUCAGCCAGACAGCUGUCCCCUCAGACAGACAUUUCCAAACAGCCCAGGUGGUCAGAAUGGGACAUGAACAUAGGCGUACUCAUGGAGACAUGCAGGAACAUGAGAUCAAAGGCUCGCCAAACUUUCCAUCACAGGGACCUGCCAUGGGGAAAAGGGAGGGGGUGAGAUUAGAUAAUAAGGACCUCCUGACAGAAAGAGUGGUUAGAAGUGGGACUGGUGCAUACAGGAGGAUCUGUGGCCUUUCUUCCUCCCUCUUCCUACACAGAUUUGAAAACUGCCAGCCCCCACCACUGCCCCACCCCACCAGGUCAUAGUUCCUAUUAAGUUCCAUAGGAACAUUUCUGCACUGCAUCCUGGCCAUCCUGGCUUCAGGGUCUCCACAGAGUGAGCCCAUGUCAUACCCCUCCCCACUUCAGGAGGAACAAGACAAAAGGGCCAGGUGAGACCUCAGUGACAACCACCUUGUCCUCCAAGAAGAAGCAAGCAGGACAAGACUUAGGGGUGGGAGAUGGGGGCAGGCGAGGGGAACUUCAUAAAGGAGACCUUGACUUUGGGGUUGUUAGGAAAAAGGUGGCUUUAGACAGGACUCCAGAUCUGACGAGGUGGGUCUCAGGCACAUAGGAAGAUUUCCUAAUAUCUCCAGAACCUGGCUCUACCUUAAGGUAGGUAGAUGGACAAAUGUAGACACCUGGGUCACAGAUGCUAAGAGGGCAUCCAGACAGGCCAGCAGCUAAGAAGGGAGACAGAUGAGCAUGCAUAAACUGUAUCUUAUAAGACAGAUUCCUGGCACUCUUUUCUUAUUUAAAUUGCCCUUUUGUUUUCCCUAGUCUUUAAUAAAAGCUUGACUGAAGGUACCAAGGUGUGCUGAAGUGGAAGCAAAGUUCUCCAAAGUCCAGCAUGGUAGACAUCAGUGGUGGUAACCAAGGACAGACCCCAAGGCAAGGUGAACCUCAAAAAUGGAACCUCAAGUCUAUGCAGUCCAGCUGCCCUCCCCACCAGAAAGUCCUUGUUCCAGCCCAACAUCAGUGCCUCUGAGUUUGUUUACUAGAAACAAAGGAAGAAUUUCCUUGUAAAAAUAUAGACAGAGUAGUCCCUGGCUUUCUCCUCUUGCAGGAAGGAUGGAUUCUCCCAUUCCAUACCAUCUUUCCCCCACACUGGCCCCAGAAAUACUUAAUUCAACUAUGUGAAAAUAAAGAUUGUUUUUGGUUUGAGGGCAUAGGGAUCCAUUUAUCCUUAUUCUUUAUGAGGCACUAAAUUAGCUUUGUAUGUUAUUAAAUGUGUCUCGUCAAUGCUGUUGGCAUUGUUUCAUUUUAACUUCUAUUUGGUAAUGUUCAAUUUUCUGAAUGUGUGGAUCACUUAGCAUGAGCAGAAAACCCUGCAAAAGUGGUGGAGGUAAGGAAAGGUUGUAAUAAUGGUUACAAAGCAGGAGCAGCAUAAGGCUACCUAGGUGGUACGGUUUGAGUUGUUUUGGGAAAGCCCUUCUUAAUCACCUCUCUCUAGGACACCACCCCAACACACAUGAAAUUCCGCUGAUGUCUUUUUGGUUGCCACUAUGUUCCCCAAGUUCUUUUAAUAUGCAAACACUGGUAGGAAAAUAAGAAGAAAUCACAUCAUAUCUCUGUUUAGAAACUGGUCUAAGAUGUUUAUAAAUGUUCAGAAAAAAUGUAAAUCUCCUUGGGUAAGCAGGCUUAGAUGAAACUAUGAGCUCAUGUUGGCAAAUGUGCAAGCUUUAGCAUUUAAGCCAAGUGCUUUAAAUCAAUCUGAGCUUCAAAAGGCAAUAGUUAAAAGUCAAGGUACGGUAGACAAAAAAAAUAUUUUCUUGACUGGAAGAGAUCUUCAUGAGACUCUUUACCAUGAAUUACCUAGAGAAAAUAACGUAAGGCAAUCUUUUUUUUUUUUUUCACUUUAAUUCAACUCAACAAAGAUGUAUUUAAUUCUACUAUAUGUAAGUAAAACUGAAGACAUAGAGUUGCAUAAAACAGUUCUGUCCCCAGACAGUCUAGCCAUGCAGGACAAAACACGUAUGGAGACACAAAGCGAAGUGUCAGGUUGCUGUGAGAGUUUAAAGAAGGGAGAUAGCCCAUCCUGUUGGAGGUCUCACCAAUAGCAUUGAGAAGGGAUUUGGAGGCAGCCAUAAAUUAAUAAACUGUACAUGAAGGAACUGGCUCAGAGAUUGAAAAUCACAGGACGUUUUAGGAAACUUUGGGUGGUGAGGUCUGGAUGGAGCACAGAAUCGGCGUGGGGAGUUAGAGGAAAAUUAGGGUCGGGGAGAAGAUUGGGAUGCUCUGAGCAAAACCAAGGCAAAGGAAGUUUAAGGCCAAUCAGCAACGUGUGUCUUCCAUCCUUUUCCUUUUCUUCUGCUGUGGAGGGUUCAUCCCUCUCCAGCCAACAGAACAAUGAUUCUGAACACACUCCCAAGAGGGACUUCUGGGCUGCAGGCACCUCCCCACGGUGGGCUGUGCACUUGGACCUGCUCCUGUCAGGGGGACUCGCCUUCUCAUCUGGCUUGGUGCCCAUCCUCCUGAGACCCCUCUUCCCAGCCUCUUCCCCUCUGCCACAUCCCCCGACGCCCUCCACCAGCCUUGUACCUUUCGUUCCUUUACCUCAUGGCUGAAAGUGACUGGUGGUAGAAAGACACCCAACCUCACUGCCCAAGUGCCCACCCACUUCCUUCACUGAUGGGCAACAGAGAUCCCUGAGGAGCAAGGGCUAAAGUGGGUUUAAUUUCACCUCAUGUCAGAGCUCAGCCCUAUUUAAUGCUUACUGUUCACUCUAUUUUUUCCCCUGCCAUUCACACUGUGCAAAGGAGCCUGUCAAUCACUGACUGAUUUUAAGCAGGAAAGUUUCAAAGAAAGCCCCCAGUACUUACCAAUGUUAAAGAAAAACAG
rnacentral:lncRNA from 1 species